GUGCAAUUUUUGGAUAAUCGCAUGUCGCUUUCUUGGCGACGUGAGGAAAGUCCAUGCUAGCACUGGCUGUGAUGCCAGUAGUGUUUGUGCUAGGCGAAAAAAGAAGCCUAGGGAUGUCUAUUUGACAUUACGGCGGACGAAAGAGCUAAGUCUUCGGAUAAGUUUCUAGUCCUGAAAGUGCCACAGUGACGGAGUUCUUGGGGAAACUCAGGGAGUGGAACGCGGUAAACCCCUCAAGCUAGCAACCCA
rnacentral:misc_RNA from 1 species